UCAAACUUGGUCAUUUAGAGGAAGUAAAAGUCGUAACAAGGUCUCCGUUGGUGAACCAGCGGAGGGAUCAUUACCGAGUUCUCGCAACUCCCAAACCCCCUGUGAACAUACCUACGUUGCCUCGGCGCGGUGGGCGGCGCUCGUCGUCCCCCCCGCGCCGGCGGCCCAUCAAACUCUUGUCCUCUUGCCCGAUCUCUGAACUAUACAAAACAGAAUACGUUAAAAACUUUCAACAACGGAUCUCUUGGUUCUGGCAUCGAUGAAGAACGCAGC
rnacentral:misc_RNA from 1 species